ACUGCCCUCCUACGCCCUUACGCGAGGUGUGAGGUCAGACAAGUUUUAACUGCAGUAACGUUCAUUGAGCCACCGUUCCAUUGAUUCUGUGGUUUUCUCUUCCUUUUUCUUUUCUUUUUUUUUUUAAAGCAAGAAAGGCAUUGAGUGCCAACAAAAUGCCGAACACCAUAAAACAUAAGUAAAUACUUGGCACUUAAUAAAUGCUUGUUGAAUGACUGAAUUGGCUGUGACAUGAUCCCAACUGUUCCUCACCCUUAAACAAUGUGCUUUAGUAGUCUUUUCUAGGUCCUCUGCUGUUAACUUGUGGGACAGAUUGAAAGUUUAGUUAGGAGUCACUGCUUUCUUUGCCAACCCAUCUGAGUGUGUAUAUGUAUAUUUAUAAUAUGUGUGUGUGUGUGAUGGCCCAACCCCAAAAAUGUUGCUCUGCAGAAUCAAGAAAUAUGCUUCCUAAAAGUCAAAUACUAGGAUUUCUUGCUGCCUCACAGACAAUGAUCAUUGUUUUUACUCCAAGGAAUUUAAGAUUUCAAGAACAGUGAUAAUCUCCUCUUUGAAGAGCCACAUUAACAGAGUUGGUGGGUCAAUUCUCUAGCUGAAAGAAUCCACCCUUGCAGAGGAACAUGAAAUUAUCAGAUUUAGUUCAAAUAUAGAGGUAUGUUUUAAGAGGGAUUAUCUAAGGGAAUACAAAUGCCCCUAAAUAGUUUACCUACUAAAAUUCUCAAUUUCUGUUAGCUGCAUAAUUAUUUUCUUAAUUGGUCAGGCUUUUAAACCAGGGGGUCAUUUUUAACUUGUCUCUACUGACUAAAUCAAGAAGUCUUGUGAUUCCUGCCAGUGAUACCUUCAUCCUUUCCAUUCUUAUAAACUCCAUAUCCAGGUUAUUCCCUUGAGGUCAUUUUAUACACUGCCACCAAAUUUGGUGACUAGAAAGAGUACUUUAUUUGGAGUCUGACAGGAACUGACUUCCAUCCCAGCUCAGCUAUUUAUCACCUACCUGACCUUAGCAAGUAACUUCUCUGGACCUUAGUUUCCUUAUCUAUAAAAUCUUUUAAGGUCAUCUCUAGCUCUAAAUCUAUGAUCUGUUAUAUACAUCUAUGAACUAAAUUUGAAUUAGGUGACUGCUUAAGGUACCUUGUCUAAAUCGAUGAACUAUGAACCCAUGUAAAUUUAAGGAGAUUUCUUGAUCCAUGUGAUAAAUCUUCGGACUAUCCUAGGAAUGGUUGUAUCAGAAAUUAGUCCUUAAGUGACUCUCAAAACAUGCUAAUGAAGUUCAGAAGCCAAUUAAAUGUUGAACUGACAGGAUUAAAGAAACAAUUAGAAGUAUGUCACAAAGAAUAUGAGAAGAGGGCAAAACAAAAAGAGAUGGGGAAGAUGGGAAGAAGACAAAGAGCUCGAAAAGCCUAGACUCAGAAGCUAGAGAGAUCUGCAGCACAGAAGCCAAGGAGGAGAGAGAAGCAUGCAGGAGAAAGCUGGCAUCAGAGGGCUGUAGUAGGUAACCAGGAACAGACUUUGAAACAAAUGAUGGGAGAAGCAUUGGUGAGUAUUUUACACUCAGAGAGCUCAUCCUAAAAGAGUUUCUUAUGAAGAAACAAGCCCCAGCAUUGAAGUUAUAAAUCCUUUUCAGAAGCCCUCAGUUGAGAACUGCAUAAACUGGAAGGAGGAAGGGGAACAUAGUAAGUUAUAUAUGAGUUUUACUUGUUGUGCAUGUUUGUUGCAAUAAAGCUGCUUUUGAUACAUU